ACGCACGCUGGCGGCGUGCUUCACACAUGCAAGUCGAACGGAAAGGCCCCUUUGGGGGUCCUCGAGUGGCGAACGGGUGAGUAACACGUGAGUAACCUGCCCUUGACUUCGGGAUAACUUCAGGAAACUGGGGCUAAUACCGGAUAGGAAUCCUUGCUGCAUGGUGGGGGUUGGAAAGCUUCGGCGGUUUUGGAUGGACUCGCGGCUUAUCAGCUUGUUGGUGGGGUAGUGGCUUACCAAGGCUUUGACGGGUAGCCGGCCUGAGAGGGCGACCGGCCACAUUGGGACUGAGAUACGGCCCAGACUCCUACGGGAGGCAGCAGUGGGGAAUAUUGCACAAUGGGCGGAAGCCUGAUGCAGCAACGCCGCGUGCGGGAUGACGGCCUUCGGGUUGUAAACCGCUUUCAGCAGGGGCGAAGCUUGUGGUGACGGUACCUGCAGAAGAAGCACCGGCUAACUACGUG
rnacentral:rRNA from 1 species